UACGUAGGGGGCUAGCGUUGUCCGGAUUUAUUGGGCGUAAAGAGCGUGUAGGCGGCCAGGUAGGUCAGCUGUGAAAACUCGAGGCUCAACCUCGAGAUGUCGGCUGAAACCAUCUGGCUAGAGUCCGGAAGAGGAGAAUGGAAUUCCCGGUGUAGCGGUGAAAUGCGCAGAUAUCGGGAAGAACACCCGUGGCGAAGGCGGUUCUCUGGACAGUUCCUGACGCUGAGGCACGAAGGCCAGGGAGCAAACGGG
rnacentral:rRNA from 1 species